GGACCCGACUGCUAUCAAAGUGGGACUAACCCAUGCGAGUCAACAUAGCAAUAUGUGGCAUACGGCUCAGUAACACGUAGUCAACAUGCCCAGGGGACGUGGAUAACCUCGGGAAACCGAGGAUAAACCGCGAUAAGUCACUGCUUCUGGAAUGGGUAGUGACUUAAAUCUAUAUGGCCCCUGGAUUGGACUGCGGCCGAUCAGGCUGUUGGUGAGGUAAUGGCCCACCAAACCUGUAACCGGUACGGGCUCUGAGAGGAGGAGCCCGGAGAUGGGCACUGAGGCAAGGGCCCAGGCCCUAUGGGGCGCAGCAGGCGCGAAACCUCUGCAAUAGGCGAAAGCCUGACAGGGUUACUCUGAGUGAUUUCCGUUAAGGAGAUCUUUUGGCACCUCUAAAAAUGGUGCAAAAUAAGGGGUGGGCAAGUCUGGUGU
rnacentral:rRNA from 1 species